ensembl:snRNA U7 U7 small nuclear RNA
UAGUGCUUACAGCUCUUUUCAAAUUUGUCUAGUAGGUUGUCUCGUGUUUACCGGAAGGCUGCU